rnacentral:rRNA from 1 species
ACACGCAUGACACACUGCAUAUCAAUAAGCGGAGGAAAAGAAACUAACAAGGAUUCCCUUAGUAACGGCGAGUGAAGCGGGAAGAGCUCAAAUUUGAAAUCUUCAAGAGUUUACCUUUACGAAUUGUAGUUUAAAGAAGUGUUUUCUGUUGGAGUUUUGGUAAAAGUUCUCUGGAAUAGGACAUCAUAGAGGGUGAGAAUCCCGUAUUUGACCGUUACUUUCCAGCUGUGUGAUACACUUUCAAAGAGUCGGAUUGUUUGGGAAUGCAGUCCAAAAUGGGUGGUAAAUUUCAUCUAAAGCUAAAUAUUGGCGAGAGACCGAUAGCGAACAAGUACCGUGAGGGAAAGAUGAAAAGAACUUUGAAAAGAGAGUUAAACAGUACGUGAAAUUGUCAAAAGGGAAGCGUUUGACACCAGUGUUGUUUUUCUCGAAAAUCAAUUAAACGAAUGGUUUAUUUUGUAUAGUUAUGACCUUCAAUCGCUUUCUUCAUCUCUUUAUGUACUUUCUUAAUGCACUUUUCGUUAACAAGUCAACAUCAAUUUCUUUUGUUGUAAAAGGGUAUGAGGAAGGUGGCUUUCUUUUCGGAGAAAGUGUUUAUAGCCUUGUACCUCUGCAAUCGGAGAGAUUGAGGUCUGCAGCGUAGAUCCUUCGGGGUUAGAUACAUUUGUGCUAAGUUAUAGCUUUUCAUAGACAACUUGUUGACUAUGUUUAGUCUUGUAGCUUACUCGCUUAUGCUAUUUUACCUACGCUUAGGAUGUUGAUCUACAGAGCGAAGU